rnacentral:rRNA from 1 species
UGGGGAAUUUUGGACAAUGGGGGCAACCCUGAUCCAGCCAUGCCGCGUGCGGGAAGAAGGCCUUCGGGUUGUAAACCGCUUUUAGCCGGGAAGAAAAGGCAGGGGCUAACACUCUCUGUUCUUGACGGUACCGGCGGAAUAAGCACCGGCUAACUACGUGCCAGCAGCCGCGGUAAUACGUAGGGUGCGAGCGUUAAUCGGAAUUACUGGGCGUAAAGCGUGCGCAGGCGGUUCGUUAAGUCUGAUGUGAAAGCCCCGGGCUCAACCUGGGAAUGGCAUUGGAUACUGGCGGGCUUGAGUGUGGCAGAGGGGGGUGGAAUUCCGGCGUGUAGCAGUGAAAUGCGUAGAGAUGCGGAGGAACACCGAUGGCGAAGGCAGCCCCCUGGGCUGACACUGACGCUC